rnacentral:rRNA from 1 species
UACGUAGGAGACGAGCGUUGUCCGGAAUUACUGGGCGUAAAGCGCGUGUAGGCGGAUGAGCAAGUCUGCUGUGAAAGCUCCUGGCUUAACCGGGAGUGGUCGGUGGAAGCUGCUCGUCUGGAGGACGGUAGAGGUAGGUAGAAUUCCCGGUGUAGUGGUGAAAUGCGUAGAGAUCGGGAGGAAUACCUGUGGCGAAGGCGGCCUACUGGGCCGGACCUGACGCUGAGGCGCGAAAGGCUAGGGGAGCAAACAGG